GAUGAACGCUGGCGGCGUGCCUAAUACAUGCAAGUCGAGCGAACGGACGAGAAGCUUGCUUCUCUGAUGUUAGCGGCGGACGGGUGAGUAACACGUGGAUAACCUACCUAUUAUACUGGGAUAACUUCGGGAAACCGGUGCUAAUACCGGAUGAUAUUUUGAACCGCAUGGUUCAAAAGUGAAAGACGCUCUUGCUGUCACUUAUAGAUGGAUCCGCGCUGCAUUAGCUAGUUGGUAAGGUAACGGCUUACCAAGGCGACGAUGCAUAGCCGACCUGAGAGGGUGAUCGGCCACACUGGAACUGAGACACGGUCCAGACUCCUACGGGAGGCAGCAGUGGGGAAUAUUGCGCAAUGGGCGAAAGCCUGACGGAGCAACGCCGCGUGAGUGAUGAAGGUCUUCGGAUCGUAAAACUCUGUUAUUAGGGAAGAACAGAAGUAUAAGUAACUGUGGACAUCUUGACGGUACCUAAACAGAAAGCCACGGCUAACUACGUG
rnacentral:rRNA from 1 species